UCCCUGGAGGACUAGUGGUUAAGCUUCAGUGCUCUCACCAACGUGGCCUGGGUUUGAUUCCCGCCCAGGGAA